UGUAUUUGAAGUUUGUUCACGGUGUCAGUUAAAAUCGUUUUGUGGCUAUAUUUUAUUUAAUCUGCGUGAAAAGAGUGGUUUUCUUCAUUUGUGAACAGGCAUAAGCACCACUAAGUUUAUGAAAGCCCACUAGAAGAGCCGUUGGUUUUAAUAGGAAAAAUGUCACUGAGUUUUUUUACUUGUCAGUGAAUACUAUGGCGGAACGAAAAUAUGGAUCUUAGCAAAUAUAGGUAUAACCUAGAUAUCCACAAGAACGAUGAGUUGGUGCUAUUUCGUCAGCAGAAAGAGGCUCUCUUAUAACCAUUGUGUAUAGGAGUGAUUUUGUGCCAUCCAUGAUUAUCUUUCCCAACAAAAAAGCCAGUGGCCAGCUGAAAAAGGGGGCACUUCCAGGAUAGCGUGUGCUUUUCAGCCAUCCGGGUGUAUUCAAACAGGUUUAUUUAGAAAAUGGUUUACCACUUCCUAGAACAAUCCAAAUCUUUAGCAACCAAUCUAAUACUGCUGAUAUUAUUAAUUAUCAAAGCUAUAGACAAUCAUGUUACCAUUUUAUGCUUACCAAACCAUAGGGCGAAGUGAGAAUUUUCAUGAGAACCGAAAAACGUGCAGUUAAGUUAUGAUAUUUGACAGUUAUUUGGUAGGGCCUAUCUUAAAGUGCAAUCAGCAGGAAGAACUGAUAAAGGGUUUAGUGCCACUGGGCUCUACUCUUUAAGAAGAAAUAAUUUCACAGUCGAAAUAUUUGAGGCCGCAAUAAGAAAAGCAGAAUUAUCGAAUGCACGUCCUUAUGAUGAGCAAAAUCACUCGUCUAAUUUUGAUCCUGACAGGGGCUUGUCUUCGUUAAGAUACUUCUAAACUACAAAAUGAUAUUGUCAACUAACCAAAAUUACAACAAUGAAACUUUUUAAUGCAACAACUUAUUGAUUAAAAUGUCAGAAAGAUUGCUUGCUUGCUUGAUUGCAAGCUAGGAGUUAUGAUGUGGUAUGGUGGCAAAAGGAACUAUAGAGAAUUUGCCCAACUUUGUGAAGGGAUGUUAAAAACUUCGGUUUCUAUAAGUUUGACAUUGGAGUUAACACGGAAAAAACAUUGUUACGACGAAUGACAGAUUUCCGUUGGUGCCAAACAUGUUCAAUGGGAUUAAAUAUACAGUGGUAAGGUGUAUGCCCUAGAUUUUUUGCAUAAUUAUCACAGACGUAUUCCUUUUGUAGGUUCAAGCUUUGUAGAAUCUCAAUUAAUUGCUUUUUGGUAUAAUCUUAGUGCAAAAUAAUGUCGUUAUUAUACAUGUCGUUUUGGAUUGUUGCUUUUGUGUCACAUGAGGGAGGGGUUUUAGUAAACUGUCUACUGUGAUAACUUGCAUUGUCCAUUAUAAUGACGCUAUUAGGAGGAAUGUUGUUUUUAAACCAAUUUUCAAAUAAAUCAGCGGUGGUGUCUUCAUGGUCAUCCAGAGAAGAAUCUUUAAUAUUUUUCGCAGGCAGAGAAAUUCCAUUUGGAAUCCAACCAUCUUUAGAGCCAGCAUGCAAAAUAGUUAUUCUUUUACCUAUUUUUGAGGGCGCGUUUAUUUUACACUUAUGAGUUGAGUCAAGCCAACCCUUUUCCGGGGUAUCAUAAGUGUCGAACCAGGUUUCAUCCAAGUAAAUUGGCCUUUGUUGUUAUCUGUAAAUCCUAUUUUUUUCUAGAUAUUCCAGUCACCAUUUCCGAAUUCUAAAAUAUUCCAUUAAAACUUGCCUUUUGUCAAUUUUUUUAAAUCUAAAACCCAUGUGUUGUCACAUUUAACAUCGGUUUCAUCUUUUUCAAGCCCCCUAAUUAAGAUAUCUAAUGUAGGCAAGCUUUCUUGCUCGUAUAACUAGUAAAUUUUACACCGUAUUAUAUCUUAAUCACUUUCAUUUACACCCGAGAAAAUAUCAGCAUCGCUUCUUUUUUUCCUCUCUGAAAUGGGAUUAUUCACAAUUUUCCAUACAGUUGAUGUUGGAAUUUUCGUUAAUGUGGCCGUUUCUUCUAAAGAUGCUUGCUUGCUGGUACCACGUUCAAUGAGAGUCAAAUAAACAUUGUUUAUAACUUCCUUAGUCUUAAUAGAAUAGUGUUUUCUACAUUUGGGCGGGAGCAUCUCCUGAGAUACACUAGACUCGCUGUAUUACACACGAAAUAAGAAUAAUUACUAAUAAACUUAAACUAAGUAGUGUACCAAACCAAAGAAUAUUAAACACAGGUAGGUAUAAAAUUAUUUUCUAUUACGUACCACAAUUUUACCUGAAUUGAAUUCCGAAACUUUAGGUAAUAAUCUUGUUGCAUUGUAUGUUAAUCACCACCCUUGGAUAAUCCCAUUCAAAAGCAAUUGGUCACUUUCUUAUAUCUAUGAACAGACCAUACUUACCCGAAAUAUAAGUCACAAUUGAUCCAUGCUACAUUUGAUUAAAAAUAUUUCCAUUUUCAUAAUAAUUGUAACGGGUUUGCCUCCAAACACCUAAAAAAUCUUAGGACUCCGCAGUCACUAACCGCAAACAAAAUCACAAUGAUUGGGUUAAGCAAGCCACGUUGGUGUGGUGUCCUUGCUCUAUAAAUGAUUGAGUUAUUUGUAUUUAAACUCAUUUCAAAGAAGCCAUUGUUUGAUAUAAUGAACUAGGCAAAUCCUUUUAUUUGGAUUAAAUAAAUAAUUAUUUGAUACAAGCAAGAAUUAGUUUAUUGAAACAAAUUUUGUUCAAAGUUUCAAAUAAAUAUUUAAUAGUUUAUUCUAUAUUUUCGGUGUCUAUGCGCUGCAGCAACACGUAUCGUAGUGUUUUUGGAAAUGAGUGGAACGAACGCAACGAUGUCAUGAUAGGAGCUCACGCAUAGAAAUUCGCAAACUUCGACGCGUAUUAAAAAAAAAAUGUGUCACCUUAAAAGUAUGCAUGGACCACUGUGUCCAAAUCCUCAGAGAGAAUAUGCCUAUUGAUAGUAUUGAUGUAACGUUAUAUGUAAUUAUAUGAACGUAUUGUGAUCUGAUCGAAUUGUUUCGGCGGUAAAUUCGGCUUGCGGCAGCGGCGGCGACGGUCAAAAUGCCGGCACGUACGUCGAGCAAGCGGUUGCUCGAUCUGCGCCUCGAGCCCGUGCAUAUUGAUUAAGCAGUUGCAGAAAGAGAGACGGCGCAUAAGGGUCACGUAAAGAAGUCUGGCCUCGUCGCGGCGGUUCUCUUGGGCGCGAGUAUGUGCCAAUCAGAGUUGUAUAAGAUGCAGCAACCACAUUCCCCGACACAUAUACUAUGACGGUGUCGGCAGCAUACGGAAAGCUAUCUAGCACGGUCGAUGAAUUAAUUGCUCAAUCGCGCAAUUAUUUAAAAAAAAAAGGAAUUUCAAUUUUUGAGUUUAUUUAUUUAGUUUUUUUCAGAA